AUUGAACGCUGGCGGCAGGCCUAACACAUGCAAGUCGAACGCGUGGCGGACGGGUGUGUAAUGUCUGGGAAACCGCCCGAUGGAGGGGGAUACCUACUGGCAACGGUAGCUAAUACCGCAUACCUUCUGAUGUGCCCCGAUGGGAUUAGCUUGUGGGUGAGGUAAUGGCUCACCUAGGCGACGAUCCCUAGCUGGUCUGAGAGGAUGACCAGCCACACUGGAACUGAGACACGGUCCAGACUCCUACGGGAGGCAGCAGUGGGGAAUAUUGGACAAUGGGCGCAAGCCUGAUACAGCCAUGCCGCGUGUAUGAAGAAGGCCUUCGGGUUGUAAAGUACUUUCAGCGGGGAGGCGUUAAACGCAGAAGAAGCACCGGCUAACUACGUGCCAGCCGCCGAGGUAAUAC
rnacentral:rRNA from 1 species